rnacentral:rRNA from 1 species
UUAAAGGCGGCUUCGGCUGUCGCUUCGAGAUGGGCUCGCGGCCUAUCAGCUUGUUGGUGAGGUAAAGGCUCACCAAGGCAAUGACGGGUAGCUGGUCUGAGAGGACGAUCAGUCACACUGGAACUGAGACACGGUCCAGACACCUACGGGUGGCAGCAGUCGAGAAUCAUUCGCAAUGGGCGAAAGCCUGACGGUGCGACGCCGCGUGGAGGAUGAAGGCCCUAGGGUCGUAAACUCCUGUCAUCAGGGAGUAAAAACUUGUGUAGUAACUGACACGGGUCUUGAUAGUACCUGAAGAGGAAGGGACGGCAAACUUCGUGCCAGCAGCCGCGGUAAUACGAAGGUCCCAAGCGUUGUUCGGAUUUACUGGGCGUAAAGCGUCUGUAGGCGGUUUGGUAAGUCAGAUGUGAAAUCCCGGGGCUCAACCCCGGAACUGCAUCCGAUACUGCCAAACUAGAGGGUCGGAGGGGAGUCUGGAAUUCUCGGUGUAGCAGUGAAAUGCGUAGAUAUCGAGAGGAACACUAGUGGCGAAGGCGAGACUCUGGACGACACCUGACGCUGAGAGACGAAGGCCAGGGUAGCGAAAAGGAUUAGAUACCCUUGUAGUCCUGGCAGUAAACGUUGCACGCUUGGUGUGGGAAGGUUCGACCCUUUCCGUGCCGGAGCUAACGCGUUAAGCGUGCCGCCUGGGGAGUACGGUCGCAAGAUUAAAACUCAAAGAAAUUGACGGGGACCCGCACAAGCGGUGGAGCAUGUGGCUUAAUUCGAUGCAACGCGAAGAACCUUACCUGGGCUUGACAUGUUAGUCGUAGACUUAUGAAAGUUUGUCGUCACUUCGGGUGGACUAUCACAGGUGCUGCAUGGCUGUCGUCAGCUCGUGUCGUGAGAUGUCAGGUUAAGUCCUAUAACGAGCGCAACCCCUAUGAACUGUUGCCAGCGGAUAAUGCCGGGGACUCUGUUCAGACUGCCCAGAUUAACUGGGAGGAAGGAGGGGAUGACGUCAAGUCAGUAUGGCCCUUACGCCCAGGGCUGCACACGUGCUACAAUGUCCAGUACAGUGUGAACCGAUACCGCGAGGUGGAGGGAAUCCUCAAAACUGGGCUCAGUUCGGAUUGUAGUCUGCAACUCGACUACAUGAAGUUGGAAUCGCUAGUAAUGGCUCAUCAGCUACGGAGCCGUGAAUACGUUCCCGGGUCUUGU